GACGAACGCUGGCGGCGUGCUUAACGCAUGCAAGUCGAACGGAAAGGCCCUGCUUUUGUGGGGUGCUCGAGUGGCGAACGGGUGAGUAACACGUGAGUAACCUGCCCUUGACUUUGGGAUAACUUCAGGAAACUGGGGCUAAUACCGGAUAGGAGCUCCUGCUGCAUGGGGGGGGUUGGAAAGUUUCGGCGGUUGGGGAUGGACUCGCGGCUUAUCAGCUUGUUGGUGGGGUAGUGGCUUACCAAGGCUUUGACGGGUAGCCGGCCUGAGAGGGUGACCGGCCACAUUGGGACUGAGAUACGGCCCAGACUCCUACGGGAGGCAGCAGUGGGGAAUAUUGCACAAUGGGCGGAAGCCUGAUGCAGCAACGCCGCGUGCGGGAUGACGGCCUUCGGGUUGUAAACCGCUUUCGCCUGUGACGAAGCGUGAGUGACGGUAAUGGGUAAAGAAGCACCGGCUAACUACGUG
rnacentral:rRNA from 1 species